rnacentral:rRNA from 1 species
GAUGAGCGCUGGCGGCGUGCCUAAUACAUGCAAGUCGAGCGAACAGACGAGGAUCUUGUUCGUUUGUCGUUAGCGGCGCACGGGUGUGUAACACGUAUGUAAUCUACCUAUAAUUCUGGGAUCACUUCGGGAAUCCGGAUCUAAUACCGGAUAAUAUUUCGAAGCGCAUGGUUCGAUAGUGAAAGAUGGCGUUGCUGUCACUUAUCGCUGGACCUGCGCCGUUUUAGCUAGUUGUUAAGUUAACGGCUUUCCAAGGCAACGAGUCGUUGCCGACCUGCGAGGGGGAUCGGCCACACGGGAAGUGAGACACGGUCAAGACUACUAAGGGAGGCAGCAGUAGGGAAUCUUCCGCAAUGGGCGAGAGCCUGACACAGCAGCGCCGCGUGAGUGAUGACAGUCUUCCGAUCGUAAAACUCGGUUACUAGGGAAGAACCAACGUGUCAGGAACUGUGCACGUAUUGACGGUACCUAAUCAGAAAGCAACGGCUAACUACGUG